CUCCCUCCCUUCCUCGCUCCUCACCGCCCCCGGGCGGGCGGGCGGCCAGGCUGGCCUAGGCCAAAGCUCCUCACCUGGCGGUGGCGGUGUAACUCCCGGCUAGCUCGCCUCCCCAGGCGGCGGCGGCGGCGUCGAAAAAGGAAGAGGCUACGGCACAUCCAGGGCACUCUCUGCUGUCUGAAGGGCCAUUCUUCAAGGGCUGCAAGGAUAUGAGAAACACAGUGGUGGAAGAUACUAGCCUGAGGAAGAUACUAGUGAGGCCUGAGAAAAUGCCUUUCAGCAAAAUUAAAAUCAGGCCGUGGAGGGGGAACUUUCAAUCUGGAGUGAUCAAGCUCCAAGACAGACAGGUAAGCAAGGCCACUGGUGUAGUGGACGUGACUUUGCCCUAUGCAGGCUCUGUUCGUUUUCUUUUUGUGGCUAACAUUUAUUGAGUGUGUUUAGCACUUUAUGUAAAUUAUAUAAUUAAUCUUUGAACAACCUCCCCAAUUUGCAGAUGAGGAAAAACUGAGGCACAGCAGUUAAGUAACUUGUCUGAUGUAAUAAAAUUAGUAAGUGCCAGAGACAAGAUUUAACUAAAAUUUGUCAUACUUGAACCUACACACUCUAAAGUCAGGGAAAAGAAAUGGGGCCAGGUAAUUUGGACUUAUCCUGCCCCUCAUACAGUUCCCUAAGCCACAGGACAGAGAUGUCAGAUGCUGUGGUGAGUACUUUGCUAUUGGAAUCUGCAGGUACUCUCGCGGUUAAAGAAUUCUGUAGUUCCACCCAUCUGACUACAGGCCUGUUGAAAAAUGAGCAGCAUAAGCUGGGAGGCAGAGUCAUCAUUGGGGCAUUCUAGACCAGGAAGACUGUAUGCUCUAUUAAGGUAGGGACUGAGCCCCAAAAUUCGCUCUAUAAUUCCACAUGGUUCAGUGCACAGCUGGGCAUGCUACACUCAACAGAAACUUAUGUUUUCAGGAAGGAAGUCACUCAACUUUGCAGAAGGUUGUUGGGGAUGAUACAGGGAAAGUUUGACUCUAGGGAGUGAGGUCUGAUCAGAACCUGGGGUGACAUGAGGGUUCCCCUCUGAAGAAGGCAUCUCCUAGUCCCUGGCAAAAACAGAUGGCAUUUCCUAAGCCCCUCCUUUGCAGCUCCUUUAGGACACUGCUCAAGUUAGGAUGGGGACGCAUCCUCUGGCUUGAAGGUCCCAGAAUUCAGAAGUGGUAUGGCUCUCUUCAUCCACCGAUAUCCACCCCCAGGAAUUUGCGCUAGAGGCUCAUGAAAGAAAGGGAGAACUCCGAGUGGACCAAAAGGAUUAGAAAAAUGAUGCCUGGAUGCCUGGCGCCCACACGCAGUGAGCCCCUUAAUCCUUGACCCUGUCUUCCUGGUGCUGUCC